CCUACGGGUGGCAGCAGUGAGGAAUAUUGGUCAAUGGGCGGAAGCCUGAACCAGCCAAGUAGCGUGCGGGAUGAAGGCCCUACGGGUCGUAAACCUCUUUUGUCAGGGAACAAAGGCGGGGACGCGUCCCCGGAUGAGUGUACCUGACGAAAAAGCAUCGGCUAACUCCGUGCCAGCAGCCGCGGUAAUACGGAGGAUGCGAGCGUUCGCCGGAUUUAUUGGGUUUAAAGGGUGCGCAGGCGGUCUGUUAAGUCAGCGGUCAACGCCCGGGGCUCAACCCCGGCCCGCCGUUGCAACAGGCAGUCUCGAGUUGGAGAGAAGUAUGCGGAAUGCGCGGUGUAGCGGUGAAAUGCAUAGAUAUCGCGCAGAACUCCGAUUGCGAAGGCAGCAUGCCGGCUCCACACUGACGCUGAGGCACGAAAGCGUGGGUAUCGAACAGGAUUAGAUACCCCAGUAGUC
rnacentral:rRNA from 1 species